AUACGGAGGGGGUUAGCGUUGUUCGGAAUUACUGGGCGUAAAGCGCGCGUAGGCGGAUUGGUAAGUUAGAGGUGAAAUCCCGGGGCUCAACCCCGGAACUGCCUUUGAUACUGCCAGUCUUGAGUUCGAGAGAGGUGAGUGGAAUUCCGAGUGUAGAGGUGAAAUUCGUAGAUAUUCGGAGGAACACCAGUGGCGAAGGCGGCUCACUGGCUCGAUACUGACGCUGAGGUGCGAAAGCGUGGGGAGCAAACAGAAUUAGAUACCCUAGUAGUCC
rnacentral:rRNA from 1 species